GCGUGAAUAGUACAGUGGUUAGUAUGACUGCCUUCCAAGCAGCCGACCCGGGUUCGAAUCCCGGUUUACGCA
rfam:Anncaliia algerae PRA109 cont4.4436, whole genome shotgun sequence.